AAAAGCAACCACAGCAGUGGCUUCUUUUUCCCCCUUUGUUUUAAUCUCGCUGUGCUGCCUGCAGCUCUGGCUCUGCUGCCUGAGGAGGGACCUCAUGAGCCGGAUCAGGUGCAGAGGGAGGCAGCAAAGGGAGUGGGACAGCCCUGGAGCUGCUUAAUUCAGGAAAGGGACGUGGAGGAGGCAUAGGAAAUGAUAAACCGGAGGUGUUUGUGUCCCCGUUGUAAGGAAGAGCUGAAUGAAGCUGGGAGGGGCCGCUUUAAAUGCCAAGCUGUCACUUCCCAGCCCUCCCCUGCACAGGAUGUCACAGAUCCUUACGGUUUGUCCGGGUUAAAAAAAGCAACGGGAUACAUUUAUGGAAUAAAAAGAGCCAGCAAAGCCACUGAGGUGACCAGAAAUGGAGCAUCCCUGAGAGCGCCAGCUGCUCCAGGAAAAAUUGAUCCUGGAAAAGGCAGAAAGCUGCUGGCAAAAAGGCAGAAAUCUGCUGGACCCAAACGAGCCUUCACAUUGAGGAAAUGGAGGGAUCCAGAGCAGCCCAGCACCAUCUGGGGCUGGCACAGAGCUUGGCUGCUGUCACAUCCCUGCAGGAGGCAGCAGGCUGAUCCCAGCCCGGGUAAGAGCUGGGGUCUUGGGAAGGUGGAGAAGGAAAUAGGGUG